UUUGCUUUGUCAUCCUUCAGCCUUGCCCCGCCCUAAAAAGAGCCAGUACAAACCAGCGCAGCCGACACAGCAGCCUAUUGCUGGAGCUUCAGAAAGGCCUGGAGAGACUUACAUGAACUGAUGCAGAGUGAAAUGAGCAGGACCAGGAGAUCAUUAUUUACUUCAACAACAAUACUAUAUGAUGAUCAAUUCUGAUGGAUCUGGCCAUCUUCAGCAAUGACAUGAACCAAAUCAGUUCCAAUAGAGCAGUAAUGAACUGAACCAGCUAUGCCCAGGGAAAGAACUCUGGGAAAUGACUAAGAACCAUUAUAUUGAAUUCCCAAUCCCUCUAUUUUUGUCCGCCCGCAUUUUUUUAUUUCCUUCAGAGGCUAAUUGUACAAUAUUUCAGAGUCCAAUUCUUUUUGUACAACAAAAUAACUGUUUGGAAAUGUAUACUUAUUUUGUAUUUAAUUUAUACUUUAAUAUAUUUAACAUAUAUUGGUCAACCUGUCAUCUAGGGGAGGGAGUGGGGGAAGGAGGGGAAAAAUUGGAACAAAAGGUUGGCAGUUGUCAAUGCUGUAAAAUUACCCAUGCAUAUAACUUGUAAAUAAAAAGCUAUUAAAAAUUUUUAAAAAAA